AUCUUUGGGAGUCAGGAGAGGGCAGCUGCCUUUCCGUUCUGCCAGGCUCUGUAAGUGGCUCACUCUGUGGCUUAAAGGACCAGGAGAGCAGGGAGCUUGGCAUCACCACAACUCAGUCAAAGGUCAUUUGCCACAGCGACCAGCACAGGAAGCAGAAAGAAUAUUUACCAGCAGUGAGGUGAAAAGAAGAAAGUCGGGACCAUCGAACUUAUGAUGACAAGUCCAAGAGAGGCUGGAUCCAGAUGAAGCCCGAGCUGUAAGGUUGAGAAGCUUGAACGGCCACUGCUGGGUCCUAAGGGAGAACAGACCACAGACCAUUUGGGCCUAACCUGGGGACCAGAAAGGACCGGGUGACAAGACGUGGAGCCAGGGGCUCGCUCUCCUCUCAAGAUCGCCCUCCCCCCAGUACCAGAUCAACUCACCACUGCACGGGCUGCCAGUUAGGCAGAAAAGGCCGGAAGCCAGUAAUGCACUCAAAGGCCAGGGUGCCAAAGCUCCAGUAGUCCACAGUCACGGUGUACUUCUGCUGCUCCAGCAGCUCUGGAGCCUGAAACACACAGGGGGGCUGCCUACGCUGCCCUCUUUCUGGCUGGAAGAGCUACCAGCUCAGAGAACCAGCUCCCUGCCUUCACCACCAGGGCAGAGUAUGUCCACUCAAGAGUGAGAUGAACCUGAACAGAUUCAGCUGUGGUUCCUGCCUCCAGGUUCCUGUCUUGACUCCCUGGAUAAUAGACCGUGACGUGGAAGUGUAAGAUGAAGUAAACUUUCCUCCCCAUUGCUUUCGGUCAGUGUUUUACUCAAGCGAUAGAAACCUACCUGGGACACAUGGCCAGCACCUCACCAACUGAACCAUCUCUCCAGUUACUAUGACAGGCAGCUUCAUUAAAACAAUUUAGGUGUA